rnacentral:rRNA from 1 species
GACGAACGCUGGCGGCGUGCUUAACACAUGCAAGUCGAACGGAAAGUUCCCUUCGUGGGUACUCACGUGGCGAACGGUGGAGUAACACGUGAGUAACCUGCCCUUGACUUCGGGAUAACUACAGGAAACUGGGGCUAAUACCGGAUAGGAAUCCUUGCUGCAUGUUGGGUGUUGGAAAGCUUCGGCUGUUUUGGUUCGACUGCCGGCUUAUCAGCUUGUUGUUCGGGUAUUGGCUUAGCAAGGCUUGGACGGGUAGCCGGCCUGGGGGGGAGAACGGCGACAAUGGGACUGGGAUACGGCCCAGAAGCCUACGGGAGGCAGUAGUGGGGAAUAUUGCAGAAUGAGGGGAAGCCAGAUGAGGAAACGCCGCGUGCGGGAUGACGGGUUGUAGGUUGAAAACCGCUUUCAGCAUGGGAGAAGCUCGUGGUGACGGUACCUGAACAAGAAGCACCGGCUAACUACGUG